UGCAUCUGGCAGGAAAGUACAGCCCAGUCUCAAACUGAGCAAUUCCACAUUCUGCUGCACUGCUCACACACAGAGAAGUGCCCGCAACUGCAGUGUGUGUGUGUGUGUGUGCGUGUGUGUGUGUGGGCGCAUGUGUGUGUGAAAGAGAGGGAAUCUCUAAAUCACUGGACUACUGAAUUCUACACUGAAAACCUCCUGACGCACUGCUGUGUCUAGUUAUGGCAAGUGAGUUUUCAUUCAAGGGGCAUCCAGAGUUAGACGAUCCCAGACGGAUUUAUGCAUGGAUGCUGUUGGUCAGUUUUUAUGAACUAAGCAAAGAAAUUCGAGCAGUCACCCCUGCCCCCCCUCCCACCAUGGAUACAGACUCGGACCAUGGACUCAUUUGAUGAUGCAUUCAACCAAGACAAGAAAACCUGGGGCAGUGGUGGGGAAAAAAGGAAAAAUCGUCACACAAGAAAAAAGAAGAGGGAUUUGACUCGGUGUGAGUGUGCAGUCGCAGGACUGAAGUGCGAACGCUGACGCGAGGUAAAAGAAGGAUGGCACAGUUUUUUUAAGCUCCAACACUACCCGCAAUUUUUCUGCGACCAGCUUGGCUCUUUUUAGUUUGGAAACUUGUUGAUCACGGUACCAGAGAAAGAGAAAAAAUGCAACAAAUCAUGCUGAGAAAGCGCAAAAACCGCCUCAAACCUGAUUAGGUCGCCGUGGAGAUACUGCUGCUGGUGCUGCUGCCAAUCACGGGACUGUGUCAGAGGGCAACUGUUCAAAAGCAGCUUCAAACUUACCGGACAUGUAGAGAUUAUAGUGGGGCACGAUUUCUUUUGCCAGCCUCAGGCAAAACAACUUACAACAUCCUGGAUCCAUUAAGGAAGUUUCCAUGGGGGACAUGUGUGGAAAAAAGAGGCUGCGUUUUAAACUCUCAGUUCUUCCUCAAGAGUCAAAGCAGCUAGAGAGAAAAUACUGGAGCAAGGUGGGGUAGGGAUUGGGAGUGAGGGGGCGUAGCGAGGGCUUGAGCGGCAUCAACCGUUCCUUUAUGCUGUGAGUUCUGAAAAGCCACCGGAAAACCACACAGCCGCGAGCCAGGUUACCUUUUCAGCUGCUCCCGGGUCUCCGCGGUGACAGCAGGAAGGCGUUGGCGUUUGUUUGGAAGUCCAGUUUAAACACAUAUCGCAGAGUGCCCCCAAAACACACGGCACGGAGAAGGAACGCGACUGGAGUUCGGCAUCUGGAACGCAGAAGAAUGUGUAGCCGGCGCGGGAGAUCGCGGGAGAGCAAAUCGGGCGCGGCCGAACAAUGACGUCGCACAAGCGGGCACCCGGCGACAAACAAAUGCAAUAACUGAAGUAAACCACCAGCUGAACGUUCUGGAAACCCUGGCAUGAUUUGGAUAUCGGCGGCUGUGCACCACUAUGCAAAAUCAACGGCGCUCACUUUCCAAACUUAUUCUCACGGAGGUUCAUAAACAGUGCCUACUCCUAUAGGCACGCGCAUCUGUAGCCAAAGUAUGCACAUCUGUCCCAGAUGGUUUAAAGACAUACACUAUGGCGUACUUCCACAAAAAAUUGCAAUUAUAAUCCUUAGAGGUUUUUUUUAUGUGAAAGUGCUACCGUGGAGCUCAUUUAAAGCCAUAAUCAAAUCGGUGGCAUCUCAUAACCAGCCCGGCUAACACCAAAUGUUACCGGAAUGUUUUGUCAAUGUUAUAACGUUGUCAUUGCACGGCAGCAACAUUGUGAGAAUGCUUUGUGUUAGUGUCUUCUCCUCCAUCCCCUUCAGAUCCAUGUUUGAAGAAACCUGAGCACCGAUGCGAUGGGACCGCUUAAAUGCACCAGCACAGACUGUACAAUACUGACAAAUGAUGACUGCAAAAAGCCAGUGUUUGCGGGCGGAAGUCACACAACGCGCAGGUUAUGCAACAGCUCUUCGGAGAGACAUGGCAGCUCUGCCAAACACUACAAAGAAAUCAGCCUGCUGAUAACAGGGCAUUCAAGUACCAGGAAGUAGUUGUCAUUCAUACUGAAGACUGAAAGGACUCUAAUCGGCACUGUCUCCAAAACAAUAUCGGCGUUCGGCACAGGUGCGCGCACGCGCAGAAACAAUAUAUCACAGAGGAUAAUGGGAAUCCUGAGCCGGGACAGAAGUCGCUACAUAUGUUUUUCUAGUUAUGUAAAUAAAAAUAAAAACAUUUGGAAGCUGUGGCUCACUUGUGUGUUAUAUAAGUACUGCAAAUAUUCAGUGUAUUCAAGCUUUUUUAAAACGUGUAUAUAGCUAUGUUGUAUGUAAGAAAAGUUUGAUUAAUUUGACACUCUAGCCCUUGGCCCCCAUCCAACAGUUUAUUAUUUUCUUAUAUUUGAAUUGCUGUGUUUUACAUACGAACAGCGCAACAAUUCUGUAAGAAAAUACCACAUUCCCAUCAGUGCUGUGUGUCGACGCAUUAUUGCCUCAGGGUAAUUUUGUCAUGGACAUUUUUUUUCAGCUGGAAACACUUACUGUCGAACAGAAUGCUAAUAAUUACAAAAUGUAGCUUUCGAUUUCAUAUCGACCCAAGGCAGAAAUGCUGUGUGGUUCUCCGGAAUGGAUUUUUUUUUUUCGUUCGUUUUAUUGGAGCAAGGGGGUUAACGACACUUGUAGACUAUUUUCCCUAACAUUGACCGUAUCAACACAUACAUGUAGUGUGAGCUACAUAACGGUCUCGACAGAGUCGCUGCGGUACAAUGUUCCCUUAAUUAUUCCCGCGUAUUCACUCACCAGUGGACCGUUCUAGGCAGGCGGUGUCCCAACGACCAGAGCACGCGCUUCGGUGUUAUCAAAUAUAUAUGUAUAUCUCUUUUACCCAGAGGAAUGUGUUGCCCUGACAGGGAAUGACCACGUGCACUUGUUAUACUAUCCAUGGAGGAAAAACAGAGCUGCGCAUUAAAAGGAAAGAACGCACCCAAAGUAAAUUUGUUAAAUGCAAUAUAAUUUACCAGGUUUUGAAAUCUUAAGGCAUGAAUAAUUUACAUUGAUGUACAUUUCUAACAGGCCAAUAAAAUACAUUAACAGCAUGUCUGAAAAGGAUACUUUCCAUAGAUUAUAGAGCCUAGUUGCAUGAUUUUAAUGGACGAGAUUGCUUAAACAUUUAAAAUUCUAUCUAUGACAUGUCAAAAGGAUACAAUGAAGGAGGAAAAAAAUUUAAGAACUCACAAAAUAAAAUUCCGGUUUAUUGUCGUACAACAAACUUCACACAUACAUCAAACAGGCCACAAUAAACAGCAAUUUCAUGGACAAAAAAAAAAAGAAAAAAAAGAAAAAAAAAUCCUUUUCUUUGGCCUUGUCAUCUCAUACAAACCAACUACUUAUGGUACAACUAAAGUACAUACACAAAGUUACUGGAAUGCUCUGAAUGUAAUUGGCUUUGAGUUUUUUUUUUUUUUUUUCGUAAUUUUUACAAGAUUUCUGUUGAGAUAACAUGACAUGGUCAAACCACAAGUAAAGUCUAUUUUA